UUUAUGCACGUGGUAGGAGAGCGUUCUAGCGGCGGUGAAGCAUGACCGAGAGGACAUGUGGAGCUUCUAGAAGUGAGAAUGCCGGUAUGAGUAACGAAAGACAGGUGAGAAUCCUGUCCGCCGCAAGACUAAGGUUUCCUGGGGCAGGCUCGUCCGCCCAGGGUAAGUCGGGACCUAAGGCGAGGCCGAGAGGCGUAGUCGAUGGACAACAGGUUGAAAUUCCUGUACUGCACCGAAUCGUUAUGAGCGAUGGAGGGACGCAGGAGGCUAGCAGCGCGUGGUGCUGGAUACCACGUUCAAGCGUCAAGUCUGAGAGCGAGUCAAAUGCUUGCUCUCAUAAGGACAAGGCGUGAUGAGGAGCGAAAUUAAAGUAGCGAAGGCUGCGACGUCACACUGCCGAGAAAAGCUUCUAGCCAGAGACGGUGCACCCGUACCGCAAACCGACACAGGUAGUCGAGGAGAGUAUCCUCAGGUGAGCGAGAGAACUCUCGUUAAGGAACUCGGCAAAAUGGCCCCGUAACUUCGGGAGAAGGGGCGCUGGUCGCAAGAUCAGCCGCAGUGAAAAGGCCCAAGCAACUGUUUAUCAAAAACACAGGCAUCUGCAAAAUCGUAAGAUGAAGUAUAGGUGCUGACACCUGCCCGGUGCUGGAAGGUUAAGAGGAGAGCUUAGCGCAAGCGAAGGUUUGAAUUGAAGCCCCAGUAAACGGCGGCCGUAACUAUAACGGUCCUAAGGUAGCGAAAUUCCUUGUCGGGUAAGUUCCGACCUGCACGAAAGGUGUAAUGAUUUGGGCACUGUCUCAACGAGAGACUCGGUGAAAUUAUAAUACCCGUGAAGAUGCGGGUUACCCGCGACAGGACGGAAAGACCCCAUGGAGCUUUACUGCAGUUUAAUAUUGGGUAUCUGUCAAGCAUGUACAGGAUAGGUAGGAGCCGGAGAAGAUAGGACGCCAGUCUUAUCUGAGGCGCUGUUGGGAUACUACCCUUGCUUGACGGAUGCUCUAACUCAGGCCUGUGAUCCAGGCCGAGGACAGUGUUUGACGGGCAGUUUGACUGGGGCGGUCGCCUCCUAAAGUGUAACGGAGGCGCCCAAAGGUUCCCUCAGAAUGGUUGGAAAUCAUUCGCAGAGUGUAAAGGUAAAAGGGAGCUUGACUGCGAGAGAGACAACUCGAGCAGGUACGAAAGUAGGGCUUAGUGAUCUGGUGGUACCGCAUGGAAGGGCCAUCACUCAACGGAUAAAAGCUACCCUGGGGAUAACAGGCUUAUCUCCCCCAAGAGUUCACAUCGACGGGGAGGUUUGGCACCUCGAUGUCGGCUCGUCGCAUCCUGGGGCUGAAGUCGGUCCCAAGGGUUGGGCUGUUCGCCCAUUAAAGCGGCACGCGAGCUGGGUUCAGAACGUCGUGAGACAGUUCGGUCCCUAUCCGUCGUGGGCGCAGGAAAUUUGAGAGGAGCUGUCCUUAGUACGAGAGGACCGGGAUGGACGCACCGCUGGUGUACCAGUUGUCUUGCCAAAGGCAUCGCUGGGUAGCUAUGUGCGGACGGGAUAAGCGCUGAAAGCAUCUAAGUGCGAAGCCCCCCUCAAGAUGAGAUUUCCCAUUUCUUCAAGAAAGUAAGACACCUCAGAGACGAUGAGGUAGAUAGGCCGGGAG
rnacentral:rRNA from 1 species